rnacentral:rRNA from 1 species
CUACGGGGGGCAGCAGUGGGGAAUAUUGCACAAUGGGCGCAAGCCUGAUGCAGCCAUGCCGCGUGUAUGAAGAAGGCCUUCGGGUUGUAAAGUACUUUCAGCGGGGAGGAAGGGAGUAAAGUUAAUACCUUUGCUCAUUGACGUUACUCGCAGAAGAAGCACCGGCUAACUCCGUGCCAGCAGCCGCGGUAAUACGGAGGGUGCAGGCGUUAAUCGGAAUUACUGGGCGUAAAGCGCACGCAGGCGGUUUGUUAAGUCAGAUGUGAAAUCCCCGGGCUCAACCUGGGAACUGCAUCUGAUACUGGCAAGCUUGAGUCUCGUAGAGGGGGGUAGAAUUCCAGGUGUAGCGGUGAAAUGCGUAGAGAUCUGGAGGAAUACCGGUGGCGAAGGCGGCCCCCUGGACGAAGACUGACGCUCAGGUGCGAAAGCGUGGGGAGCAAACAGGAUUAGAUACCCCCGUAGUC